rnacentral:rRNA from 1 species
GACGAACGCUGGCGGCGUGCCUAAUACAUGCCAGUAGAACGCUGAAGGAGGAGCUUGCUCUUCUGGAUGAGUUGCGAACGGGUGAGUAACGCGUAGGUAACCUGCCUGGUAGCGGGGGAUAACUAUUGGAAACGAUAGCUAAUACCGCAUAAGAGUAGAUGUUGCAUGACAUUUACUUAAAAGGUGCAAUUGCAUCACUACCAGAUGGACCUGCGUUGUAUUAGCCAGUUGGUGGGGUAACGGCUUACCAAGGCGACGAUACAUAGCCGACCUGAGAGGGUGAUCGGCCACACUGGGACUGAGACACGGCCCAGACUCCUACGGGAGGCAGCAGUAGGGAAUCUUCGGCAAUGGACGGAAGUCUGACCGAGCAACGCCGCGUGAGUGAAGAAGGUUUUCGGAUCGUAAAGCUCUGUUGUAAGAGAAGAACGAGUGUGAGAGUGGAAAGUUCACACUGUGACGGUAUCUUACCAGAAAGGGACGGCUAACUACGUG